rnacentral:misc_RNA from 1 species
UAAUAAGUGUUUUAUGGCACUUUUUAAAUCCAUAUCCACCUUGUGUGCAAUGUCAGUCGAUCUUCUUCAUGGAGAUCGACCAAACAUCAACCUUUAUCUUUUAACUCUUUGUCUGAAAAGAUAUUAUGAAUAAACAAUUCAAAAUA